UCUUAUGAUUUCCUAUACUUUUAUAACAUGAAAUGUUGAUAAAGAGUCUUCAUCCUUGUUGAAGUUUGGAGAAUGCAGCUGUAAAGAGUUAAAAAGCUUUCUUGACACUACAAAAUAUGUUAGAUGAAUUGAGAGAAGACACAAGAGCAGUUAUGACACUAUAUGGAAGUUGAUAAGUAGGUAACCGUAAUCUUAAAUAUUAGUAAUUCUCAUUGAAAUUUCAGACCUCAUUGUGUUUGACUUUUCCAUUAUAUGAUCUAUAGUAUUUUGUAGACUUUGAAGUGUCAUUGGACAAAUAAAGGGUUGCUUUCACCAAGAAUCUAUCAUCAUUGAAAGUAAUAGCCUGUUUAUGGCAAUAGCUAAAUUUCACACUUUUGUUACAUUCUUAGCAUAUUUGUGAAGCUAAAGGAUUGUGAUAUCAUUUUUCACCCAACUCUGAUGUAUUUAUCUCAUACUUUUAGGCUUGUAAGUUGUAAAUAUCCAAUCAAUGCAAUUUGGAAAUUGGAACUAUUAUUUUUCAUGUAAUUCAGCUAUCCUAAAUUCCUAAUGGUGGAUG
rnacentral:lncRNA from 1 species